rnacentral:sRNA from 1 species
CGAAAACGUAGGUGACACUUCAAGACACGGUGAAAAAAAGAUCAACAAGGUUUGCGGAAUACCAAAUUCGCCAAUUGGUACCAAGUAGAGGUCAAAUUUAGCUUUGAAGUUGACUCAGAUGUGUUGACACAAAUGUUUAGCAUACUGUGACUAAUUUGAGGAUAUCUUACUCAAUUUAAGCCCUAAAACAUGAGUUCUUCUUAGAAUCUUGCAAGGCAG